UCAACAACCAGGAAGCAGCUUCACCUCUGAUCACACACACACACUCAACUCUACUCACUCACCUGGAGGAUCAACACUCAGGGUGAUGAUGCUGAUGGAUUUCCAAGAGCGUGUUUCUCCCAUGAAGACACGACACUCAUCCACCCGGUUCUUAAAAGAUGGAUGCUGAUCAUCUGGCACAAAGACUUCAUCUCGGUACAAAAGGACAUAUUCGCCAUACAGAUCAGCUCGGCUCCAUUUUACACAUAUAUUGAUGUUUAGAGCUCGACAUGUCAGAGUGACAUCCUGUCCAGACUCAGCUGUGAUGUUUUUCUGGGCUGAAAGAGGAAACAACAGAGAGAGUAAAGUUUAAACCGUUCACUUGUAUAGCAGCCAAUCAGUGAAGAGCAGAGACCACUGUCCUCUGAUGAUGGUGGGUGGACCUCAAACCUGACUGACUGCUAGAAGUCAAAAAGGGGAAACAACACAUAGCAUAGAGUUGAAAGGGGUCCAGCACUUCAAGCUCAAUGGUCACCAGACAGUUUGCUGACACACACCAGGGGCGUCUCUACAGGGGUAGCCUUGUGCCACGCUAAAAAUAAUCUCUUGCCACCCCAGUUUUGCAUAUGACAGUGCUGUGUAUUAAAAUAAUCCAUCGAUAACACUUUGAGACCAGCUACAACAAAAAUUGCUUAAACAUUGUAAAACUGAAUAGACGGGAUUGUUUUGGGAGUGAUGGCAGCAAAAGAGAAAUUGAUAGCGAGUUUUGAGAUGUGACAGAUUUGUGAAGUUUAGCAUGUUUGGAGUGUUAGUGUGUAGCUGGUAUGUAGUAUAGUCUUUUGUUUUGUGUGUCAGUGAAUGUAAAAGUCGCUGUUAAAAGCCACCAAAGAUUGCAAUGUAAACACUGCACAAGUUUAAUAUAAAUUUACCAUUUAUAUUUGCUUUUCAAGUUAUGAAUAUAGUUCACUAAACAUG